rnacentral:misc_RNA from 1 species
AGUUUAUCUCUGAUUGAAUUUUAAACCCUUAACCCUCUGCCUUCACUGGUUCUAUGACUGAUCCAGGUCUAAAAACCUUGCUUGUUUUACACAACUAAACAAGGACCAAGCUAUUUUCAAGGAAAAUAACUUUAUCUUUUAAAGGAAAAUUCACUUAUUGGAUUUUGACAAUUUUAUAAAGAAUGAAGAAACCUAUAAGGAAAUCACAUAAGCACAAUACAAACUAUUUAUCUUUGGCUGUUAUUGACCACCACUGUCAACAGCCAUUGUUGGCAAAUUUCAGCGACAGCCACAAUUUAUUAUUUUAUAUCUAUUUUUCUUGUAACUAAUAAUAAAUAGACAAAUAAGAAGUUAUUAUAUGUUCAAACAUAUCCAUAAGCUAAUAUUUUGAAAGAAAAUUAUUAUUUUCCAAAGCACUUCAAACACCAAAAAAUAGUUUAUGAAGUUUCAUAAAUGCAAUCAACCAAUAAAAAUAUUUUAAGUCAUUUCUUUUUUAAUUUUCCAAAGACAAAUUAUUUUCUAUGAAAUAAUUGGAGCCUAAAUUUCUUUUUUAUGACUUGUCAGCUGAAAUCAGUCUACUCUACUUGUCCAUAAACAAUUGAGAUUACCUUUUGUUUUGGCGUGGAGAAGAGGUCGUCUUCUCUCUCCACUGUUGGCUUGUCAGAAGCAACC